CCGUCCUGACUUCUGUUGAAAAUGUGGACCAACUGGAAGACAACGUGUUCGCUACUCCUGCACCUCCAACCAACAAGAAGGCUCAAAAAGGUAAAAGUACAGCUGCCAAGAAGAAAGCAGCCACCAAAACUCCAGGGAAAACUCCGGCCAGGAGAGGCAAGAAAAAAGCAGACUGGGAGUCAGACAGCGAUGCUGAUGCGGAAGCCAGCGUGUCGGAGAGUCCAGCGCCCGCCACCCGCGCCCGAUCCACCCGUAAGGCUGCGACGCGCACCCGGGUCAACCUGAAGGAUCUGCUGUCCGACUCCGGCAGCGACGCACCUCAGGACGACUCACAAGCAGUGUAAGGCACAAUUACUGUGAUAUUAGGUUUGCUGUAUUCCUACUGCCUUCUACUAGUGCCUAGGUCAGGAGCUUCCCUCCCUUCCUUGUAUGUACCUGCAUUUUGCUCUAUAGGGCCCUAGAUUCUGCUACUUUUAAACUGAAUGCUUGCAGCUCUGUUCUGAAUCUCAAAUUCUGCAUAAUUUCUAAUGUGCUUGUUUCAAUUUAGAUUAUGUCUAAGACUUGUAGAGAUUGCAGAAAACUAAAAACAACAGCCUCAGUGCUUUGACUCAAAUAUUGCAGAAAUCAAAGUAUUUCGAGCCCUUUGUGGCAAUUCUAAUGGUGCAUCUGCAUACAGCUAGUCCUGAGGUGCAUCACUGGUGCCUUUUAACUUUGGAGCCAGCUUAAACUAUGCAAAAAAUUAAGACCAAUAUCAUAACUCUUUGUUUUCUAACCUCUGAGUUUUCAUAGUGUACCAUUAACACUUGUUUCAUGUUACUUACAGACCCAAAAGGUCAACUCGAAGAACUCUACGCUCAUUAGACAACACGUCUUAGGUUAAUGCAAAUGAAAAUGACAACCCGGGACUAUGAUGAAUAUGUAUACUA